rnacentral:telomerase_RNA from 1 species
ACAUAUGGCGAUAGAGGUGAACGAUGCGACAUGUCGCAUUUUCUAACCCUAUGGUUUAUUUUCGUAAACUUGUGUCUAGUUUGUAGUUUUUUGUCUAGCUUUCUGCAAACUACAAGUUUACUAACGUGGUAACAAGUGCGAAAAAGGCUGGACUAUCCUCUAUGGCUAUGUCGACCGAAUUCAACGUACUUUCGUCACGGUCAGGCCUGAAGAAAUUGCCAUAGCCCUACAUGUGCUAUCAUGUGUCGGGGAAAUGGUGCCUUUCUACAGUUUUGACCAUACUAAUUGGAUUUCAACAUGCAGUUUCUUUGGUCACGGAGCCUUCUUAAAAAACUACUGCCGGUCGCAUCAACUGUUGGUAGACGUCUGCUCUCAGUCAAUGCACAUUGGUUAGGAUGUUAUUGGAGGCUAAGAAGUGACUGAUCUUUCGUAAACUGUUUGUUGGAUGAAAAGUACAAGAUCAACUAGCCAAGACUUGUUGAAAAAUCUCAUACUGAGAGUUCAUAGUAUGAGGUCGUACAGUCUUGGCACAUUU